rnacentral:lncRNA from 1 species
GGGUUUAAGAAUUUUUGGAAGCUGUCGUGUUCGAGGACAGGGACAGCGCAAGGAGGACGUUUGUGGAGCUCACGCAAAACCAUCCAUGGGGUAAUAAAUCUAUCUAUCUAUCUAUCGAUCUAUAUCCAGGUCUAUGCAGCAAGCAAAUCAUGCGAGAUCGAGCACGCAUUCAUUCAUCCAAUCAAAGUUUUAAGUUUAAAGCGAGCUUCUUUCCGUGAGUCAAUUCCUCUCACUCUCUCACUCUUCUUCGUGGGGAUUCCUUUCACUCGCAGCAUAGAUUUGGAGAGCCACACGACACAAGCGAAGAGCAAGAAAACCAAGGAAAGUAUUAUAACGUACCGG